CCUACGGGGAGCUGCAGUGGGGAAUAUUGGACAAUGGGCGAAAGCCUGAUCCAGCCAUGCCGCGUGUGUGAAGAAGGCCUUCGGGUUGUAAAGCACUUUCAGUGGGGAAGAAAGCCUUGGGGCUAAUACCCUCGAGGAAGGACAUCACCCACAGAAGAAGCACCGGCUAACUCCGUGCCAGCAGCCGCGGUAAUACGGAGGGUGCGAGCGUUAAUCGGAAUUACUGGGCGUAAAGCGCGCGUAGGCGGUCUGAUAAGCCGGUUGUGAAAGCCCCGGGCUCAACCUGGGAACGGCAUCCGGAACUGUCAGGCUAGAGUGCAGGAGAGGAAGGUAGAAUUCCCUGUGUAGCGGUGAAAUGCGUAGAGAUCGGGAGGAAUACCAGUGGCGAAGGCGGCCUUCUGGACUGACACUGACGCUGAGGUGCGAAAGCGUGGGUAGCAAACAGGAUUAGAUACCCGAGUAGUC
rnacentral:rRNA from 1 species